GACGAACGCUGGCGGCGUGCUUAACACAUGCAAGUCGAACGAAAAGGCCCUGCUUUUGUGGGGUGCUCGAGUGGCGAACGGGUGAGUAACACGUGAGUAACCUGCCCUUGACUUUGGGAUAACUUCAGGAAACUGGGGCUAAUACCGGAUAUGAGCUCCUGCUGCAUGGUGGGGGUUGGAAAGUUUCGGCGGUGGGGGAUGGACUCGCGGCUUAUCAGCUUGUUGGUGGGGUAGUGGCUUACCAAGGCUGUGACGGGUAGCCGGCCUGAGAGGGGGACCGGCGACAUUGGGCCUGCGAUACGGCCCAGACUCCUACGGGAGGCAGCAGUGGGGAGUAUUGCACAAUGGGGGGAAGCCUGAUGCAGCAACGCCGCGUGCGGGAUGCCGGCCUUCGGGUUGUAAACCGCUUUCGCCUGUGACGAAGCGUGAGUGACGGUAAUGGGUAAAGAAGCACCGGCUAACUACGUG
rnacentral:rRNA from 1 species